ensembl:lncRNA
GUUGGUAUGACCCUCUCAUACCAACCUCUAUGUGAGACCUUCAUAGCAAUAUAGGACACACCACACGGAGGAUCUAACAGGUAUUAGCAUGUUAAAUAUUAUCUGCCUGUGAAUGAACGAUGGAGGGAGCCGGCGUCACCUUUUUCAUCACCCUCCAGAAGAUCUACUACCCGCUGCUUUGCCUCAUGGGUAUUCCAGCCAACCUUUUCACAUUCUAUAUGAUCUGCUUCCGCAAAUGUGGGAUGUCCAACACAGCCAUCAUUUACCUGGGCUGUCUGGCCAUCGUGGACACCUUCUAUCUGGUGUGGGUGAUCCUUCUUGAUCUGACUCUCACCUUCUGGCUUCUGCAGCCCUUCUGGCACUCCCAUCCCUGGUGUGGCAUCUUGGCGUUCCUGCAGUAUGGUUCACUCUGCAGCUCCUCCUGGAUCGUGGUUGUGUUCACCAUUGAGCGCUACCUCGUUCUACGCAGCACAGUGGCCAAGCAGCACUUCUCCCAGGCCUGGGUGACUAAACUGACGUGCGUUGCUAUCGUCCUGGUUUCACAUCUUGUCUCUGUGCCGCCGGCCUGGAUCAACAUUGUCGCGCCAGUCAACCUCUCCAUGAACGGGGAGAAUAUGACGCUGCCUAGGUGCAUAUACCGCGAUAAGGUGUACUCUACAGUUAUUGUGUGGAUAACCACCUUCCUCUCAGGGGGAAUCCCCAUCGUUUUGGUCAUUAUCUUCAACUACCUGAUCGGGCACCAUUUGUGCCGAGCCACGAACCUCUUCACCAAGGAAGAGCGCCGCGUCAUGCACGGGAAGAGCACUAGGGGCAUGUUGAAGAGGACCAUCCUGGUGCUGGGCACCGUCUCUGUGGCCUUCGUCCUCCUCAGCCUGCCCCGCUUUGUCACGUACUGUAUCCUCAGGACCAUGUACAACGACGUGAACUUCGACAGGGACGACUACAGCCUCCCCAUCAAUGUGGCCGGAGACUUGGCCAACAUGCUGCAGAACCUCAACUCCACCACCAACUUCUUGCUGUACUGCAUGGUCAGCCGGCGCUUCCGGCGCGAGCUCGUCCAGGUGGCCACGUGCAAAGCGAGGGCCCUUGACCUCGGCUCUGUCCUCACCCACACCACCAUGAAAGUCUUCUCAGUGAUAGAUCAUAAGGCGUCGCCAACCAGUCGCCCUGCAACUGUGGUCCUAACCAAUCUUAAACUCAGAGAGUAGAAAACAUCUGGUAGAUGUAGGCAAGUAGGCACAAAGAUCAGACUUUUACCUUUAAGCAUUAACGUUCACCCUUGACCAUGGAUAUUAUAGUUUGAUUGAAAUGAAGAUAAAUUACCACCAGAUGAACAUAGUUAGCUCUGUGUGUACUUAUAGCACUGUUAUUGCAUGUAGUAACCGUCACUAUGAUGAGGCCAUGUGAAGGCAAUCACAGUAUCAGUAAAUGUGUUCAUGGGUCCCAGAGGAUGAAUCCUGAUCACUCUGGUGUUUCAGCUGAUGUUUAGUCAUGUGAUACAGCAUCCAACCCCAACGUCUUCACUCAUCCAGUAAAAUAUAUGGAUUGUCACAUACUUUCAUACAGGCCUUCAUGGUUUUCAGAUUAUAUAUAUAUUCAUGGCCCUUUCUGUGACAAUAAUUGGAGGAAAAUUUCAAUGAAUCAAUUAUUUGUAGGUUUGUGAUGAAAAAACUGCUAAACUAAUGACUCUGCCUCUGCUUUAUUUUGGGUUCAGUGUUUAAUAGCAAAUGUUAGCAUGCUAAGAGUGGUGAAAAUAGUAAACGUUGAUUUCUGCUUUACAUCUGCAAGUGUGUUAGCACUAUGACAUGAGCAUAUCAAGCUAACUACAACCUCCCAGAGCUGCAAGCAUGACUGAAAUAUAAUAUAAGUGAAAUAUUAAAUGAUUAAUGUUUUUUUCCAAAUAGAAAUGUGUAUACAUAUGAACUGUGCUGCAGUGCUCUUCAUGUAUUCCAACUAUUAG